UUAUUCAAUUGCAGUCCUGCUUUGGCACAACUGGGACAGAAUGGAGCAAAAUAAAAAAGUACUGUAACUAACGAAAUUAGAGUCACAAUGCCUUUGUCAAGAACAUAAUCUCUUGGGUUGCCUAAGACUAAAUCCAUGGCAAGGUGUGAUGAUACUUAA
rnacentral:lncRNA from 1 species